UACGAAGGGGGCUAGCGUUGCUCGGAAUCACUGGGCGUAAAGCGCACGUAGGCGGAUCGCUAAGUCAGGGGUGAAAUCCUGGAGCUCAACUCCAGAACUGCCUUUGAUACUGGCAAUCUCGAGUCCGGGAGAGGUGAGUGGAACUGCGAGUGUAGAGGUGAAAUUCGUAGAUAUUAGGAAGAACACCGGUGGCGAAGGCGGCCCACUGGUCCGGUACUGACGCUGAGGUGCGAAAGCGUGGGGAGCAAAC
rnacentral:rRNA from 1 species